UACGUAGGGCGCGAGCGUUGUCCGGAUUUAUUGGGCGUAAAGAGCUCGUAGGCGGUGUGUCACGUCGGCCGUGAAAACCUGCAGCUUAACUGUGGGCGUGCGGUCGAUACGGGCAUCACUGGAGUUCGGCAGGGGAGACUGGAAUUCCAGGUGUAGCGGUGAAAUGCGCAGAUAUCGGGAGGAACACCCGUAGCGAAGGCGGCACUCUGGGCCGGAACUGACGCUGAGGAGCGAAAGCGUGGGGAGCAAACAGG
rnacentral:rRNA from 1 species